CAGGAUCCACAAUGAUACAUUCCCCAUGAAGCCUUUACAAAAACCCGUAUGUGCAAAAAGCUUGUAGGAGAGUGUGUUAAGGCAGCUACAGAGAAUUCUGCAGCACAGCGGGCAUGUUCUGUCUUGUUUUUUCUUGAUAGACCUAGCAUGCUAGGACUUACUUUCAUCAUCUGAGAACCAAGCCUACCCUCUCUGGAAAACAAGCCAGGAGAUUCUGAGACAUAGAAAUAAUUUUCAGCAAGCCACAUUGACUGCAGAUGCACCUAAAACCUAUCAGAGGACGUGAAGCAGAGAAUUAAUAUUUUUUUUUCUGAUGAGAUAAUGUUUGCAAUAGACCACAAAAUGCUUCUUUAUUAAUGUGAUAAAAGCUUUAGAAAAAUAAUUCUGAUGUACCUGGUAUCUUUCAGAGGCACUAAAUAAAAUGUAUUGGGGUUCUCUCUCUUAAAUAAGCCUCCGGUGUCCACUGACUGACUCAUGCCUGUGAGCACAAAGGUUUUCUCUAAUCCUUCUCCACACUCGUCUCACUGCAGUUCUUCCUAAUGGAUAUCAAGGGUUUGUCUGAGACCAGCCAACUGAUUCUUCUGGACUCUCCUUGUGUGGAUUACUUUUAACCUAUCAGAAAAUUGAGUAGGAUCCAGAAAGACUAUUCAAGAUGGCUGGCCUGCCAUUGAAGGGAAAACAAAUGGAUUCGUUUUAGUUCAGUGCCACAAAGGUGAACCACCUAUAUGAAAAGGCAUGUGACUAUGACAACCACAAAGCAAGUAUUAUUUGAUUAUUAACUCCGCAAGUUACAGAAGGGAAGGCUUUGCAAUGCUUAGAGUACAAGACUGACAGUAAAGAAGCUCUAGUUGUAGAGGAAUUAUAUUUCUAGACAAUGACAACCUCUACCACUUUGGGUACAUCUGCAUGGUUUCUACAUCUGCAAAAUCAGAACAGCAGGUAAUAUCAGUGAGAUAACAUGGAGAUUAGAGAAAGGUUGUAAAACAACUUGAGGUGAAAUGUAGACAUUAAAAUUAAGUAUCAAAAAACUCUGGGAAAUGCUUUUAUAAAUGCUACAGGUUAUACAAUGGGAUUUCAAGCUGGUUUUCUGCCAAAGCCCUUCAGACAGAGAUUGAGGGAUCUUUAGGGUUCCACAUACCGUAAACAAUGCUUAAGCUUCUGCUUACUAAACUCGGCUGCAGGGCAUCCAUUUUCUUAGCUUAUGAUACAACACUUUGUCACUGUGACCAACAAUAAACUGACUUUCGGCGAUGGCACAAAACUUACAGUAAUAGGGAAGAACGAUGAAAUCAUACCUCCAGCUGUGGCCAUCUUUUCCCCAUCAAAGCAAGAGAUCCAACAGAAGAGCAAGGCCACGCUGGUAUGCCUGGCCUCUGGUUUCUACCCUGACCACCUAAAUCUGGUCUGGAAGGUGAAUGGUGCUAAAAGGACAGAAGGGGUGGGGACAGAUGAGUUUUCCACAUGGAAUGGGAGUACCUACUCAUUGACCAGCCGACUGAGGAUCUCAGCCCAGGAAUGGUUCAACCCUUUAAAUCGUUUUGAGUGUGUUGCCAAUUUUUUUGAGAACGGAACCCUGGAAUCAAUACACAAAUUACUCUACGGUGAUGCUGGUUGUGCACUCACGGAAGAGUCCUACUUGUGGUAUGGAAAUUCUCUGAAGCUCACUUACCUCAUUCUCUGUGGCAAAGCCUUGCUCUAUGCAGUUUUGGUGAGCAGUCUGGUGUGGACAGCCAAGGCUGGUGGCAAGUUGUAUAGAGAAUAAAUCAAGAGUCCUCUUCAUCACAUCAGCAGGAACACAGCAAAUUAUACUUUCUACCUUUCCAUAGCAAAGGAUUUAUGCUUCUGUCUAUGAACUUCUGAAUAUUAUUUCUUGGUGACUCUCUGUCCCCCUCCUGUUCUUUCCACUUUGUUGUAAUCACUGCUGGGUUUUCCCUGUACUUCAAUAUCACAUUGUAUUGUAUCGUAUUGUAUCAUAUCAUAUAGUAUCAUGUCUUUAAAACUAACACCUUCUUAAUGAUCAGAAGCUGAGAACCCAGCUCCUUGAAUUAGGAAUAAAGUUUUAGCUUCUUUUCCA